UUUGAUUCUGGCUCAGGGAAGUCGUAACAAGGUAACACSKGAGUUUKAUCAUGGCUCAGAGSGAAYKCYGGCGGSRUGCCWAMYMCRUGCMARUCKARSGAKAAWSGGGKCSCWAGACCYYCAGUACAGUGGCGAACGGGUGAGUAACACGUGGGUAACCUGCCCUCGGGUUCGGAAUAACCUGCCGAAAGGCGGGCUAAUACCGGAUGACGACAUGGGGUCCUCGGACUUCAUGCCCAAAGCUGACCUCUUCAUGAAAGUUGGCACCUGGGGAGGGGCCCGCGUCCCAUUAGCUAGUUGGUGAGGUAACGGCUCACCAAGGCUACGAUGGGUAGCCGGCCUGAGAGGGCGACCGGCCACAGUGGAACUGAGACACGGUCCACACUCCUACGGGAGGCAGCAGUGAGGAAUCUUGCGCAAUGGGCGAAAGCCUGACGCAGCGACGCCGCGUGGACGAUGAAGGCCUUCGGGUCGUAAAGUCCUGUCGGGUGGGAAGAAUUGGCUUGGGGCUAAUAUCCCCAGGUCUUGACUGUACCACCAGAGGAAGCCCCGGCUAACUCCGUGCCAGCAGCCGCGGUAAUACGGAGGGGGCCAGCGUUGCUCGGAAUUAUUGGGCGUAAAGGGCGCGUAGGCGGCCAGGUAAGUCUGAUGUGAAAUCCCACGGCUUAACCGUGGAAUUGCAUCUUAUACUGCCUGGCUGGAGUCUGGGGAGAGGGAAGCGGAAUUUCCCGGUGUAGCGGUGAAAUGCGUAGAUAUCGGGAGGAACACCAGUGGCGAAAGCGGCUUCCYUGGACCAGUACUGACGCUGAAGGCGCGAAAGCUAGGGUAGCAAACAGGAUUAGAUACCCUGGUAGUCCUAGUCUUAACGAUGUGCACUUGGUGWUGGGGGGUAUCGACCYCCUCCAGUGCCGAAGCU
rnacentral:rRNA from 1 species